UACGUAGGCAGCGAGCGUUGUUCGGAUUUACUGGGCUUAAAGAGUGCGUAGGCGGUUUUCUAAGUUUGGGGUGAAAUCUCCCGGCUUAACUGGGAGGGUGCGCCGAAAACUGGAAGGCUUGAGUAUGGGAGAGGUAAGCGGAAUUCCUGGUGUAGUGGUGAAAUGCGUAGAUAUCAGGAGGAACACCUGCGGUGUAGACGGCUUACUGGACCAUAACUGACGCUGAGGCACGAAAGCGUGGGUAGCAAACAGG
rnacentral:rRNA from 1 species